rnacentral:rRNA from 1 species
GAUGAACGCUGGCGGCGUGCCUAAUACAUGCAAGUCGAGCGAACAGAUAAGGAGCUUGCUCCUUUGACGUUAGCGGCGGACGGGUGAGUAACACGUGGGUAACCUACCUAUAAGACUGGGAUAACUUCGGGAAACCGGAGCUAAUACCGGAUAACAUUUGGAACCGCAUGGUUCUAAAGUGAAAGAUGGUUUUGCUAUCACUUAUAGAUGGACCCGCGCCGUAUUAGCUAGUUGGUAAGGUAACGGCUUACCAAGGCGACGAUACGUAGCCGACCUGAGAGGGUGAUCGGCCACACUGGAACUGAGGCACGGUCCAGACUCCUACGGGAGGCAGCAGUAGGGAAUCUUCCGCAAUGGGCGAAAGCCUGACGGAGCAACGCCGCGUGAGUGAUGAAGGGUUUCGGCUCGUAAAACUCUGUUAUUAGGGAAGAACAAAUGUGUAAGUAACUGUGCACGUCUUGACGGUACCUAAUCAGAAAGCCACGGCUAACUACGUG